GUGCCAGCCGCCGCGGUAAUACCGGCAGCCCGAGUGAUGGCCGAUCUUAUUGGGCCUAAAGCGUCCGUAGCUGGCUGCGCAAGUCCGUCGGGAAAUCCACCCGCUUAACGGGUGGGCGUCCAGCGGAAACUGUCCGGCUUGGAGCCGGAAGACCUGAGGGGUACGUCCGGGGUAGGAGUGAAAUCCCGUAAUCCUGGACGGACCGCCGGUGGCGAAAGCGCCUCAGGAGGACGGACUCGACAGUGAGGGACGAAAGCCAGGGUCUCCAACCGGAUUAGAUACCCGGGUAGUCC
rnacentral:rRNA from 1 species